rnacentral:rRNA from 1 species
UACAGAGGGGGCAAGCGUUGUUCGGAAUUACUGGGCGUAAAGGGCGCGUAGGCGGCCUUCUAAGUCGAACGUGAAAUCCCCGGGCUCAACCCGGGAACUGCGUCCGAUACUGGAAGGCUUGAAUCCGGGAGAGGGAUGUGGAAUUCCAGGUGUAGCGGUGAAAUGCGUAGGAUAUCUGGAGGAACACCGGUGGCGAAGGCGACAUCCUGGACCGGUAUUGACGCUGAGGCGCGAAAGCCAGGGGAGCAAAGCGGG